ensembl:rRNA 5S_rRNA 5S ribosomal RNA
AUCUACGGGCAUGCCACCUGAACCCGCCCGAUCUCGUCUAAUCUCGGAAGCUUAGCAGUGUGGGGCCUGGUUCGCACUUGGAUGGGAGACCACCUGGGAAUGCCAGGUGCUGUAGGCU